AGCGAACGCUGGCGGCAGGCUUAACACAUGCAAGUCGAGCGGGCCCUUCGGGGUCAGCGGCAGACGGGUGAGUAACACGUGGGAACGUACCCUUUGGUUCGGAAUAACGCUGGGAAACUAGCGCUAAUACCGGAUACGCCCUUUUGGGGAAAGGCUUGCUGCCGAAGGAUCGGCCCGCGUCUGAUUGGCUAGUUGGUGGGGUAAUGGCCUACCAAGGCGACGAUCAGUAGCUGGUCUGAGAGGAUGAUCAGCCACACUGGGACUGAGACACGGCCCAGACUCCUACGGGAGGCAGCAGUGGGGAAUAUUGGACAAUGGGCGCAAGCCUGAUCCAGCCAUGCCGCGUGAGUGAUGAAGGCCUUAGGGUUGUAAAGCUCUUUUGUCCGGGACGAUAAUGACGGUACCGGAAGAAUAAGCCCCGGCUAACUUCGUG
rnacentral:rRNA from 1 species